rnacentral:rRNA from 1 species
GAUGAACGCUGGCGGCGUGCCUAAUACAUGCAAGUCGAGCGAACAGAUGAGGAGCUUGCUCCUCUGACGUUAGCGGCGGACGGGUGAGUAACACGUGGAUAACCUACCUAUAAGACUGGGAUAACUUCGGGAAACCGGAGCUAAUACCGGAUAAUAUAUUGAACCGCAUGGUUCAAUAGUGAAAGACGGUUUUGCUGUCACUUAUAGAUGGAUCCGCGCCGCAUUAGCUAGUUGGUAAGGUAACGGCUUACCAAGGCAACGAUGCGUAGCCGACCUGAGAGGGUGAUCGGCCACACUGGAACUGAGACACGGUCCAGACUCCUACGGGAGGCAGCAGUAGGGAAUCUGCCGCAAUGGGCGAAAGCCUGACGGAGCAACGCCGCGUGAGUGCUGAAGGUCUUCGGGUCGUAAAACUCUGUUAUUAGGGAAGAACAAAUGUGUAAGUAACUAUGCACGUCUUGACGGUACCUAGUCAGAAAGCCACGGCUAACUACGUG